ensembl:snRNA U6 U6 spliceosomal RNA
GUGCUCACUCCAGCAGCAUAUAAACUAAAAAUAUAAACGAUACAAAAAAGGUUAUUAUGACCCUGUGCAAGGAUGACAUGCAAAUUAUAAAGUGUUCCAUGCUUUU